rnacentral:rRNA from 1 species
GAUGAACGCUGGCGGCGUGCCUAAUACAUGCAAGUCGAGCGAACGGACGAGAAGCUUGCUUCUCUGAUGUUAGCGGCGGACGGGUGAGUAACACGUGGAUAACCUACCUAUAAGACUGGGAUAACUUCGGGAAACCGGAGCUAAUACCGGAUAAUAUUUUGAACCGCAUGGUUCAAAAGUGAAAGACGGUCUUGCUGUCACUUAUAGAUGGAUCCGCGCUGCAUUAGCUAGUUGGUAAGGUAACGGCUUACCAAGGCAACGAUGCAUAGCCGACCUGAGAGGGUGAUCGGCCACACUGGAACUGAGACACGGUCCAGACUCCUACGGGAGGCAGCAGUAGGGAAUCUUCCGCAAUGGGCGAAAGCCUGACGGAGCAACGCCGCGUGAGUGAUGAAGGUCUUCGGAUCGUAAAACUCUGUUAUUAGGGAAGAACAUAUGUGUAAGUAACUGUGCACAUCUUGACGGUACCUAAUCAGAAAGCCACGGCUAACUACGUGCCAGCAGCCGCGGUAAUACGUAGGUGGCAAGCGUUAUCCGGAAUUAUUGGGCGUAAAGCGCGCGUAGGCGGUUUUUUAAGUCUGAUGUGAAAGCCCACGGCUCAACCGUGGAGGGUCAUUGGAAACUGGAAAACUUGAGUGCAGAAGAGGAAAGUGGAAUUCCAUGUGUAGCGGUGAAAUGCGCAGAGAUAUGGAGGAACACCAGUGGCGAAGGCGACUUUCUGGUCUGUAACUGACGCUGAUGUGCGAAAGCGUGGGGAUCAAACAGGAUUAGAUACCCUGGUAGUCCACGCCGUAAACGAUGAGUGCUAAGUGUUAGGGGGUUUCCGCCCCUUAGUGCUGCAGCUAACGCAUUAAGCACUCCGCCUGGGGAGUACGACCGCAAGGUUGAAACUCAAAGGAAUUGACGGGGACCCGCACAAGCGGUGGAGCAUGUGGUUUAAUUCGAAGCAACGCGAAGAACCUUACCAAAUCUUGACAUCCUUUGACAACUCUAGAGAUAGAGCCUCCCCCUUCGGGGGACAAAGUGACAGGUGGUGCAUGGUUGUCGUCAGCUCGUGUCGUGAGAUGUUGGGUUAAGUCCCGCAACGAGCGCAACCCUUAAGCUUAGUUGCCAUCAUUAAGUUGGGCACUCUAAGUUGACUGCCGGUGACAAACCGGAGGAAGGUGGGGAUGACGUCAAAUCAUCAUGCCCCUUAUGAUUUGGGCUACACACGUGCUACAAUGGACAAUACAAAGGGUAGCGAAACCGCGAGGUCAAGCAAAUCCCAUAAAGUUGUUCUCAGUUCGGAUUGUAGUCUGCAACUCGACUAUAUGAAGCUGGAAUCGCUAGUAAUCGUAGAUCAGCAUGCUACGGUGAAUACGUUCCCGGGUCU